UACGUAGGGUGCGAGCGUUAAUCGGAAUUACUGGGCGUAAAGCGUGCGCAGGCGGUUUUGUAAGCCAGAUGUGAAAUCCCCGGGCUUAACCUGGGAAUGGCAUUUGGGACUGCAAGGCUCGAGUGCGGCAGAGGAGACUGGAAUUCCUGGUGUAGAGGUGAAAUUCGUAGAUAUCGGGAGGAACACCGGUGGCGAAGGCGGCGACCUGGGUGGAUACUGACGCUGAGGUGCGAAAGCGUGGGGAGCAAACAGG
rnacentral:rRNA from 1 species